rnacentral:rRNA from 1 species
GACGAACGCUGGCGGCGUGCUUAACACAUGCAAGUCGAACGGAAAGGCCCUGCUUUUGUGGGGUGCUCGAGUGGCGAACGGGUGAGUAACACGUGAGUAACCUGCCCUUGACUUUGGGAUAACUUCAGGAAACUGGGGCUAAUACCGGAUAGGAGCUCCUGCUGCAUGGUGGGGGUUGGAAAGUUUCGGCGGUUGGGGAUGGACUCGCGGCUUAUCAGCUUGUUGGUGGGGUAGUGGCUUACCAAGGCUUUGACGGGUAGCCGGCCUGAGAGGGUGACCGGCCACAUUGGGACUGAGAUACGGACCAGACGCCUACGGGAGGCAGCAGUGGGGAAUAUUGCACAAUGGGCGGAAGCCUGAUGCAGCAACGCUGCGUGCGGGAUGACGGCCUUCGGGUUGUAAACCGCUUUCGCCUGUGACGAAGCGUGAGUGACGGUAAUGGGUAAAGAAGCACCGGCUAACUACGUG